rnacentral:rRNA from 1 species
AGCAGCCGCGGUAAUUCCAGCUCCAAUAGCGUAUAUUAAAGUUGUUGCAGUUAAAAAGCUCGUAGUUGAAUUUCGGGGUCAAUAAGUUGGUCGUGCCAAUGGUAUGUACUGGCUUUAUUGAUUCCUACCUCUUGACGAACUGUGAUGCCAUUAAUUUGGUGUUGCAGGAAAUCAGGACUGUUACCUUGAAAAAAUUAGAGUGUUUAGAGCAGGCUUACGCUUGAAUACAUUAGCAUGGAAUAAUGAAAUAGGACGUUUGAACCUAUUUUGUUGGUUUCUAGGAUCGACGUAAUGAUUAAUAGGGAUAGUUGGGGGCAUUAGUAUUCAAUUGUCAGAGGUGAAAUUCUUGGAUUUAUUGAAGACUAACUACUGCGAAAGCAUUUGCCAAGGAUGUUUUCAUUAAUCAAGAACGAAAGUUAGGGGAUCGAAGACGAUCAGAUACCGUCGUAG